rnacentral:rRNA from 1 species
AACGAACGCUGGCGGCAGGCUUAACACAUGCAAGUCGAACGCAUCCUUCGGGGUGAGUGGCAGACGGGUGAGUAACGCGUGGGAACGUGCCCUUCAGUUCGGGAUAACCCAGGGAAACUUGGGCUAAUACCGGAUACGUGCGAGAGCAGAAAGAUUUAUCGCUGAAGGAUCGGCCCGCGUCUGAUUAGCUAGUUGGUGGGGUAAUGGCCCACCAAGGCGACGAUCAGUAGCUGGUCUGAGAGGAUGAUCAGCGACAUUGGGACUGAGACACGGCCGAAACUCCUACGGGAGGCAGCAGUGGGGAAUAUGGGACAAUGGGCGAAAGCUUGAUCCAGCCAUGCCGCGUGAGUGAUGAAGGCCUUAGGGUUGUAAAGCUCUUUCGUCCGGGACGAUAAUGACGGUACCGGAAGAAGAAGCCCCGGCUAACUUCGUGCCAGCCGCCGCGGUAA